GUCGAAAAUAAAGAUAAAAGGAAGCUUCGAUCAACCGCCUCUGCCUCUCCCACUUCGUCUUCUCGGUUACAUCUUCAUGAAAUCUACGUUAUAGCUACCAAUAUUAUCAAUAAAUUGUGUUCUGCAAGCUCCUCUUUACGAAUUCGUUUCUUAUCCUUUGUUUUUCCUUCUUUAUAAACCCUUCGCCUAGAUUUAAUCCAGUCAAAAACGAAAACCUCCACUGAAGAAGUUGAAGCUAUGGCGAUGAAACCCAAUGGAUAGUAAUCCACUAGAAAGUCUCCCGUCACCACCGGAAAGUCUCCCGUGCAGUAUGCUGUUAAAUUGUUUUGGCCGUGUGGCGAUUCUGAUUUUUAGGAACGAACGAACACACAUGAAUUUCAUAUGUUCAUGUCUUCCCUUCUUCAGCUAUUUGAUCUGGUAUAUGGAGAAUUUUCAAGAUUUCUAUUCGGUUUGCUCUGGGUGAGAACAAAUCCUAAAAAGAUGCAGCCACAACAGGAAUAAAAAACACUAUGAAAACAUUAUUACAAAGCAAAACGGAUAAGCAUCUUCGCACAUGGUGUUCAAGAGAUCAUACAGAUGGACCUGAAGACAAUUUGUCUAAAUUGGCAGUUGACAGCGCCUUUCAUGUCUCCGGCAUAUUGUCCAUGGCACAGUUGGAUAUCUGGAGCCCAAGUAUAUAACUCUGGAGUCCUUUUUCGUGGGUCAAACUGUGGAGUCCUUCUUGAGUUUAUGUUAGGCGUAGGCGUAGAAGCCAUAUCGAAUGAACACUUCCGAGUUGAUUAUACAAGGUAUAUUACUAAUCUGACCUUUUUUAUUUUUUAAUGAACAGGCGUACAAAACAAAGAAAUGUUGCUAAGUGUCGGUCAGGAAAUGGCACUUCUGAGCUGUAGAGUUUGGUUAAAACGUUUUUCAGCAAUAUGCACCAAACUGUGAUCGAGAAUCGUGGAUUAAGGUUCUCGACUUUGUUAGCAGGAUUUUCCAUGGAAGUGUAGUUUUUUUUUUUG